rnacentral:lncRNA from 1 species
AGGCAGCAGGAAGUUAAAGGUGGAAUACUGGAAAUAGUUUUCCUUCCUCCAUGCUGUAUGGAGAUGGGGGCUGCUGCAUGGAAGUGGGGGCUAGAUGUUGGUGAAGGUGUCCUUGUUCGAGCAGAGAAGGUAGUGUUGGUGCUUCUUUUCAGUGCCAGUCCAUCCAUCACGACCACAUUUGUCAUGAUGACAGUGACAAGAGUGAAGAUAGUCCAAGUCCUAAGAGACAGCGCCUCUCUCAUUCAGUCUUUGAUUAUACAUCAGCAUCACCAGCUCCCUCACCACCAAUGCGACCAUGGGAGAUGACAUCAAAUAGGCAGCCCCCUUCAGUUCGACCAAGCCAACAUCACUUCUCAGGGGAACGAUGCAACACACCUGCACGCAACAGAAGAAGUCCUCCUGUCAGGCGCCAGAGAGGAAGAAGGGAUCGUCUGUCUCGACAUAAUUCCAUUAGUCAAGAUGAAAACUAUCACCAUCUCCCUUACGCACAGCAGCAAGCAAUAGAGGAGCCUCGAGCCUUCCACCCUCCGAAUGUAUCUCCCCGUCUGCUACAUCCUGCUGCUCAUCCACCCCAGCAGAAUGCAGUCAUGGUUGACAUACAUGA